GAUGAAGAACGUAGCGAAAUGCGAUAAGUAAUGCGAAUUGCAGAAUUCAGUGAGUCAUCGAAUCUUUGAACGCACAUUGCGCCCUGUGGUAUUCCGCAGGGCAUGCCUGUUCGAGCGUCAUUUCAACCCUCAAGCCUCGCUUGGUGUUGGGCCCUGCCCGCCGCGGCCGGCCCUAAAGAUAGUGGCGGCGCCGCCUGGCCCUCAGCGUAGUACAGCUCUCGCUCCAGGGUCCGGCGGCAGCCUGCCAGAACCCCCCAACUCUGUGGUUGACCUCGGAUCAGGUAGGGAUAUCCGCUGAACUUAAGCAUAUCAAUAAGCGGAGGA
rnacentral:misc_RNA from 1 species